AAGCAGACGACAUUAUCGAGAAAUACUUUUUUUAAUGAAAUAACUCCAGUAUUAAUAUUCAGUUAAAGGGACAUACCCGAGAUUGCUGCAUUUAUGCAGUCCUUCGUAUCGGGGUAUGUCCUGUUGUAACUCGAACUCGUGCCCAGCUGGUACCACGAAGGUUGGAUCAUGUUGGGAAGGGAGUGCCGCCUGCCAGGAUGAUAGCCGUUAACAACAAAACCGAAGAACGACAGCAGAUUCUGAUUACGAGAAGUUCCAUUUAAUUUCGUUACCUGGAUGAAAAAUUGCGACUGACUUUCAUUCCUGAACAAAUAUACAUUAUGAAGACCUGGUGUUAUCCUCACGUUAAUGAUUAUAAAGAAGCUGUCUGUUCUUCCUGAAUAAAUAAACUACUUCUCAAAUA
rnacentral:lncRNA from 1 species